UUAUAAGUGCUUGAAAUCAUAGAUUGCUGUGUUCCAGAGCAUCAAGACUGUGAUCGAAGGGUGAAUUGUGACUGAAUUACUGAGCUACAAAUAAUAUUAAGUAGUUCUUUAUAAGUCAAGGUUACUCUACAUCACUCUCGACUCGCCUUAAAAGUCAUCUGCAAUGUGGAACGUGCCUCCAACAAUUCAUUGACACAGUUGUGACUGACUCCUUCAUAGCCGUCGGCCAGCUCUUUCACAUCCACCAUCUAAUUGAGGUGAAAGGACAGAAAUGUUGAAAGUGUGUUUUCUGCAGCACCAGUAACCUCAAGAUACUUCACUCACUACAGCUGCUUUUGAAGAACUUUCCAGGUGUUUGUGAUUUACAUUCCGACUUUUGAAAUGUCUCCUUGAUUGGACAUAUUUAGCUAAUAAAAAAGAACAAUAUAUAAAGCAUGCAUCUGUUUUAAGGUUAUUGUGUUUGUGUGUGUGGUGUAGUUCCUCUUGGUGUCCACUAGGUGGC